rnacentral:misc_RNA from 1 species
GCUGUGAAGUCGGGAAACUAACUUGUUAAUCUCCACAUGUUAAUGAUUGGAAGAUUGCAUGAUUUUUAAUGCAGCAAAAGGUGCAUUAAAUAAUUUCUGGGACCAAGUUGGCACGUCGGCCUCAGAUUUGUAGUAGUGUUGCCUCAAUUUUUGAACACUUAAACCUGCCAUGGGUAUCUAUGAUAUUUCUAAUUUCGAACCUGUGGGAGCAAUUUGACCCAUGUUGUGUUGGCAAAUCGAUGUUAUACGGUAUUGCGGAA